GACAGAGGGUGCAAACGUUGUUCGGAAUUACUGGGCGUAAAGCGCGUGUAGGCGGCUAAGUAAGUCGGGCGUGAAAUCCCACGGCUCAACCGUGGAAGUGCACUCGAAACUGCAUAGCUAGAGUCCUGGAGAGGAAGGUGGAAUGCUUGGUGUAGAGGUGAAAUUCGUAGAUAUCAAGCGGAACACCGGUGGCGAAGGCGGCCUUCUGGACAGUGACUGACGGCUGAGGAGCGAAAGCGUGGGGAGCAAACAGGG
rnacentral:rRNA from 1 species